AGAGUUUGAUCCUGGCUCAGAACGAACGCUGGCGGCAGGCCUAACACAUGCAAGUCGAGCGCCCGCAAGGGAGCGGCAGACGGGUGAGUAACGCGUGGGAACGUGCCCUUUGGUUCGGAAUAUUCCCGGGAAACUGGGAGCAAAACCGGAUAAGCCCUUCGGGGGAAAGUUUACGCCAAAGGAUCGGCCCGCGUUAGAUUAGGUAGUUGGUGGGGUAACGGCCUACCAAGCCUACGAUCUAUAGCUGAUCUGAGAGGAUGAUCAGCCACACUGGGACUGAGACACGGCCCAGACUUCUACGGGAGGCAGCAGUGGGGAAUCUUGGACAAUGGGCGCAAGCCUGAUCCAGCCAUGCCGCGUGGAUGACUGAAGGCCCUAGGGUUGUAAAGUCCUUUCGACGGGGACGAUAAUGACGGUACCCGUAGAAGAAGCCCCGGCUAACUUCGUGCCAGCAGCCGCGGUAAUACGAAGGGGGCUAGCGUUGUUCGGAUUUACUGGGCGUAAAGGGCGCGUAGGCGGAUUUUUAAGUCGGGGGUGAAAUCCCGGAGCUCAACUCCGGAACUGCCUUCGAUACUGGAAGUCUGGAGCACGGUAGAGGUGAGUGGAAUUCCGAGUGUAGAGGUGAAAUUCGUAGAUAUUCGGAGGAACACCAGUGGCGAAGGCGGCUCACUGGACCGUUGCUGACGCUGAGGCGCGAAAGCGUGGGGAGCAAACAGGAUUAGAUACCCUGGUAGUCC
rnacentral:rRNA from 1 species